rnacentral:tmRNA from 1 species
GGGGGUGCACUGGCUUCGACGGGGGUUGCAAAGUUACCUGGUGCAUGCCGAGGGGGCAGCUUUCCUCGUAAAUCCAGCGGCAAAACUCUAGUUGCCAACGACGACAACUACGCUCUCGCCGCUUAAGGCGUAAGCCCCGAACCCACUUGUGUCCGUGCUCGUGGAUGUAGGGUCAUCAUCACGGAACAGGCAUUGGCGGCGACCCGCCAACCGAUGCUUAAAUAAAGCGGGUGUGUCCGCCGGUGUGCUUCGCACGUCGUGUUGCCGUCGGCCGAGAACGAACGUCGUGCUAAGCAUGUAGUACCGGAGAUCGCGCGCUUUCGGUCGGGGG